UCUUAUGGAUGAGUAAAGUAAGUGGUUUCUUAAGAUAGAAUCUACUCCUGGUGAAGAGGCUGUGAA
rnacentral:pre_miRNA from 1 species